GCCUUCGAGUUCCCUGGAACGGGACGCCAUAGAGGGUGAGAGCCCCGUCCGGGUCGUGCGCCUAGCCUCUGUAAAGCUCCUUCGACGAGUCGAGUAGUUUGGGAAUGCUGCUCUAAAUGGGAGGUAUACGUCUUCUAAAGCUAAAUACCGGCCAGAGACCGAUAGCGCACAAGUAGAGUGAUCGAAAGAUGAAAAGCACUUUGAAAAGAGGGUUAAAUAGUACGUGAAAUUGCUGAAAGGGAAGCGCUUAUGACCAGACUUGGGCGCGGCGGAUCAUCCGGCGUUCUCGCCGGUGCACUCCACCGCCCCAGGCCAGCAUCAGUUCGCGCCGGGGGACAAAGGCUUCGGGAAUGUGGCUCUCUCGGGAGUGUUAUAGCCCGCUGCGUAAUACCCUGGCGCGGACUGAGGUCCGCGCUCUGCAAGGAUGCUGGCGUAAUGGUCAUCAGUGACCCGUCUUGAAACACGGACCAAGGAGUCGUCUUCGUAUGCGAGUGUUCGGGUGUCAAACCCCUACGCGGAAUGAAAGUGAACGUAGGAGAGAGCUUCGGCGCAU
rnacentral:rRNA from 1 species